ensembl:rRNA nuclear encoded rRNA 5S 34
CCUGUGACCACACAACCCGGAACAAACCGGAUCUCAUCUGACCUCAGAAGUUCAGCAGGGUCAGGCCCACUUAGUACUUAGAUAGGCUAAUCACAGAAGAUAAGUAAUAACUAGGA